rnacentral:tRNA from 2 species
GCCCGCGUGGCUAAGUGGCACGGCGUCUGUCUUGUAAACAGAAGAUCAUCGGUUCGAUCCCGAUCGUGGGCA